UACAUGUGGGGCAAGCGUUGUUCGGAAUUACUGGGCAUAAAGGGUGCGUAGGCGGUUUGUUAAGUCACUGGUGAAAGUUUUCGGCCCAACCGGAAAAUUGCCUGUGAUACUGGCGAACUUGAGUGCGUGAGGGGUGGGGGGAACGAGCAGUGUAGCGGUGAAAUGCGUAGAUAUUGCUCGGAAGGCCGGGAGCCGAAGGGGCCCCACUGGUACGUAACUGACGCUGAGGCACGAAAGCGUGGGGAGCAAACAGGG
rnacentral:rRNA from 1 species